rnacentral:rRNA from 1 species
UACGUAGGGUGCGAGCGUUGUCCGGAAUUAUUGGGCGUAAAGAGCUCGUAGGCGGUCUGUCGCGUCGGUCGUGAAAACUUGGGGCUUAACCCUGAGCUUGCGGUCGAUACGGGCAUGACUGGAGUUCGGCAGGGGAGACUGGAAUUCCUGGUGUAGCGGUGAAAUGCGCAGAUAUCAGGAGGAACACCGGUGGCGAAAGCGGCUCUCUGGAACGGUACUGACGCUGAGACGCGAAAGCGUGGGGAGCGAACAGG